GGCUGUGUAGCAUAGUGGUUAAGGAGCAGAGCUUGUAACCCCAAGGUUGCUGGUUCAAUUCCCCACUGGGGCA